CCUACGGGUGGCAGCAGUGAGGAAUAUUGGUCAAUGGACGCAAGUCUGAACCAGCCAUGCCGCGUGCAGGAAGACGGCUCUAUGGGUUGUAAACUGCUUUUGUACGAGGGUAAACGCAGAUACGCGUAUCUGUCUGAAAGUAUCGUACGAAUAAGGAUCGGCUAACUCCGUGCCAGCAGCCGCGGGAAUACGGAGGAUUCAAGCGUUAUCCGGAUUUAUUGGGUUGAAAGGGUGCGUAGGCGGUCGUAUAAGUUAGAGGUGAAAUCCCGAGGCUCAACUUCGGAAUUGCCUCUGAUACUGUUAGGCUAGAGAGUAGUUGCGGUAGGCGGAAUGUAUGGUGUAGCGGUGAAAUGCUUAGAGAUCAUACAGAACACCGAUUGCGAAGGCAGCUUACCAAGCUACUUCUGACGUUGAGGCACGAAAGCGUGGGGAGCAAACAGGAUUAGAUACCCCUGUAGUC
rnacentral:rRNA from 1 species